AUGGCGAGCGAGAAUUCUACUACUUCGAGAGUUCGCAGCAAUGCUACUAAGAACAGAGCGGACCUGGGCGGUGGCGCACAGGGCGUUGACGUGGAAGAAAAUAAGGUCGGAGAAACUGAGUCCUCGGGUGGCAGUGGCUCUACAUCUAACACCGAGGACCUGGGAGACAAGUUCAAAUAUCUUAACCUACACGAAGAUGAACAGGGGGACGUCGUCUUAGAGGAAGACCUUGAGGAACUAGACAAGGAUGCCGAAUUCAUGGCACUCGCCAGGAUUCAUACCUCACGCACUUUCAGCCAUGGAGCCUUCACUAGUGGAAAAAAGGGAGCUAGUCCCGGUUCCAGAGGGCCUUUAGUCCCGGUUCUGGAACCGGGACAAAACGGUCGGGACUAA
rnacentral:rRNA from 1 species